rnacentral:rRNA from 1 species
UACGUAGGGGGCAAGCGUUGUCCGGAUUUAUUGGGCGUAAAGAGCUCGUAGGUGGUUUGUCGCGUUGUUCGUGAAAACUCACAGCUCAACUGUGGGCGUGCGGGCGAUACGGGCAGACUAGAGUACUGCAGGGGAGACUGGAAUUCCUGGUGUAGCGGUGGAAUGCGCAGAUAUCAGGAGGAACACCGGUGGCGAAGGCGGGUCUCUGGGCAGUAACUGACGCUGGAGGGAGCGAAAAGCGUGGGGGAGCGAACAGG